rnacentral:sRNA from 1 species
UUAAGUUUAUCUACUUCAACCACAUGAAUCUCGCCGAGAAGAGCACAGUUCACAUGAGGAAAACGCCCAGUGUGUCGCUCACUUCCGUGCACCCAGAUUUAAUGAAGAUUCUCGGUGACAUCAACAGUGACUUUACCAGAGUGGAUGAAGAUGAGGAGAUUAUCGUGAAGGCCAUGAGUGACUACUGGGUUGUUGGAAAGAAGUCUGAUCGGCGGGAGCUCUAUGUUAUCUUGAAUCAAAAAAACGCAAACCUCAUUGAAGUAAAUGAAGAGGUCAAGAAACUUUGUGCAACGCAGUUCAACAACAUCUUCUUCUUGGAUUGACUGAUGAUGGCUCACCGAGAGCGUAUUUAAAAACACUCGGCAAACAUUUGGUCCUAUGCAAGUUAGUGGUCAUAUGACGGACUGCAUUCAGGACAAGGAUUACACCGGCCACCAGGUCCAUGACCCAGGCUGGUCUCGAACUCCCGUAAUCCAGCCAUGUAGGAAACCUGAGAUGCAGUGGGCCAGGGGGAAAUUAUAGCUUGUCCGGAAAGCACUUGGUCCUGAUGCAU